rnacentral:rRNA from 1 species
AACGAACGCUGGCGGCAGGCUCAACACAUGCAAGUCGAGCGCCCCGCAAGGGGAGCGGCAGACGGGUGAGUAACGCGUGGGAACAUACCCACCUCUACGGAAUAACUCAGGGAAACUUGUGCUAAUACCGUAUACGCCCUUAGGGGGAAAGAUUUAUCGGAGAUGGAUUGGCCCGCGUUGGAUUAGCUAGUUGGUGGGGUAAAGGCCUACCAAGGCGACGAUCCAUGGCGGGUCUGAGAGGAUGAUCAGCCACAUUGGGACUGAGACACGGCCCAAACUCCUACGGGAGGCAGCAGUGGGGAGUAUUGGGCAAUGGGCGCAAGCCUGAUCCAGCCAUGCCGCGUGAGUGAUGAAGGCCUUAGGGUUGUAAAGCUCUUUCACCGGAGAAGAUAAUGACGGUAUCCGGAGAAGAAGCCCCGGCUAACUUCGUGCCAGCCGCCGCGGUAA